GGGGAAUAUUGCACAAUGGGCGAAAGCCUGAUGCAGCAACGCCGCGUGAGGGAUGAAGGCCUUCGGGUCGUAAACCUCUGUCCUUGGGGAAGAAACAAAUGACGGUACCCAUGGAGGAAGCCCCGGCUAACUACGUGCCAGCAGCCGCGGUAAUACGUAGGGGGCGAGCGUUAUCCGGAAUUAUUGGGCGUAAAGAGUGCGUAGGUGGUUACCUAAGCGCAGGGUCUAAGGCAAUGGCUCAACCAUUGUUCGCCCUGCGAACUGGGCUACUUGAGUGCAGGAGAGGAAAGCGGAAUUCCUAGUGUAGCGGUGAAAUGCGUAGAUAUUAGGAGGAACACCAGUGGCGAAGGCGGCUUUCUGGACUGUUACUGACACUGAGGCACGAAAGCGUGGGGAGCAAAC
rnacentral:rRNA from 1 species